rnacentral:rRNA from 1 species
GCCUGCCCAGUGAUUAAACGGCCGCGGUAUCCUAACCGUGCAAAGGUAGCAUAAUCAUUUGUCCAUUAAUUGUGGACUCGUAUGAAAGGCAAAAUGAGAGCCCAACUGUCUCUUAUAACUAAUCAAUUAAACUGAUCCCCCAGUACAAAAGCUGGAAUACCCCCAUAAGACCAGAAGACCCUGUGAAGCUUUAACUAGCCUAUUAAAGUUUCGGUUGGGGCGACCUUGGAACAAAAAAGAACUUCCAACACAUGACUCAAAAGGCAAACAAGCCACAUUAGACCCAGUAUAUCUGAUUAAUGAACCAAGUUACUCCAGGGAUAACAGCGCUAUCUUCUUCAAGAGCCCAUAUCAAAAAGAAGGUUUACGACCUCGAUGUUGGAUCAGGACAUCCUAGUAAUGCAACCGUNACUAAGGGUUCGUUUGUUCAACGAUUAAAGUCCUAC